GACGAACGCUGGCGGCGUGCCUAACACAUGCAAGUCGAACGAUGAAGCCCAGCUUGCUGGGUGGAUUAGUGGCGAACGGGUGAGUAACACGUGGGCAACCUGCCCCAAACUCUGGGAUAACUCCUCGAAAGAGGUGCUAAUACCGGAUACGAACUAGACAGACAUCUGUACUAGUUGGAAAGUUUUUCGGUUUGGGAUGGGCCCGCGGCCUAUCAGCUUGUUGGUGAGGUAACGGCUCACCAAGGCUACGACGGGUAACCGGCCUGAGAGGGCGACCGGUAACACUGGGACUGCGACACGGCCCAGCCUCCUACGGGAGGCAGCAGUGGGGAAUAUUGCGCAAUGGGCGAAAGCCUGACGCAGCGACGCCGCGUGAGGGAUGAAGGUCUUCGGAUCGUAAACCUCUUUCAGUAGGGACGAAGCGAAAGUGACGGUACCUAAAGAAGAAGCACCGGCUAACUACGUGCCAGCAGCCGCCGUAA
rnacentral:rRNA from 1 species